CCCUUAGAUGUUCUGGGCCGCACGCGCGCUACACUGACGAAGUCAGCGAGCAUGUCCUACGCCGACAGGUGCGGGGAAUCUCGUCAAACUUCGUCGUGAUGGGGAUUGAUUAUUGAAAUUCUUGAUCAUCAACGAGGAAUUCCUAGUAAGCGCAAGUCAGCAGCUUGCGUUGAUUACGUCCCUGCCCUUUGUACACACCGCCCGUCGCUACUACCGAUUGAAUGGUUUAGUGAGAUCUUCGGAUUGGCGCCACUGCGGCUCAGCAAUGGGCUCGGUGGAUGCCGAAAAGUUGAUCAAACUUGAUCAUUUAGAGGAAGUAAAAGUCGUAACA
rnacentral:rRNA from 1 species